UGUUUGCUUGAAAGCAGGGAACUGAAGCAGGAGGAAGUCAGGACCUGGCAUUAUCACCAGCGCAUACAGUCUCUACAAAGAGAGAUCCAGAUGGUGAAGGAAACUCUCCAGGCCAUGCUGGUGCAGCUUCAGCCCACUAAGGAGUCAGGAGAAGAUGUUGCUGAAAAUUUCCUUGGUGACAGCUGGUGUUUGGGAAAGCAGAGCUUAAAGGAGUAACAAGCAGGAAGACAGAAGGGGGAUCUUUAAUUCACGGGCUUCCUUUCAAGAAUGGAAUACUGUCUUAGCGGACCUUAAGGAUCUCUGCAAAAGUAUUAACAGUCAAAUACGGAGCAGGGGAGGUGGGGAAUAGAAGCUGGAGGUCUUCCCUGUGAAAUAGUGUGGCUUGCACAAUUCAACAGCCCAAAUCGAGAAACAGUUUCUCAACAGCAUUCCAUCCAUCCAUUCCUAAAAGUGGCAAUUCCAAACAAUGCCUUACAGAGAGAUUUUGAUAACAACAACAUGUUUACAACCCUUUGGCUCUUCCCGCACCUUCCAAUGCAGCCUGGAAAUCCAUACAUCCAGAAGUCACAGGACCAUGAAGUUUUAAAAACAAAAACCCAAGUAUGUCACAGGCACUGGUAUAAUUCUAUCUCUGAUCCUAUGACAGUGACAUCUGGAUAAGAUCGCUGGGAGACCAGCUUUUUUUUAAGGGACAGGGAUGUGCUUUGGGGCGGUGGGCAUUUAGAAAGUGAGACUACUGCAGCUAUGAAAAAGUGCAGAGACAAUGAAUGCAUGAAAUCAAAUAAAUGUCCAGACAGUUUAUACCCUGCGAAAGAGCAUCCGUGAGAAACAGUUUGUGUUAGCUUCACAUCCAAUAAGUGUUGGUGACACCUGCAUAGUUACUUAUCCAGAUGCCACUCGGGACCACUGCAGUUUGAAAGGGAGGAUGCUCAGUAAUAGUCUUUCCAAAGCACUAUUACAUUGUUUUCGGGAAUGCAGAGAAAACAACUUUCUAGGAACAGAGGCACAGGGAAGCAGAAUAUCAGUGUUUUCCCCACAAAUAAGCAAUAUUGUUAAAAAGCACUUCAGGUUGGGGUAAAAUGUAUUCUGUUGCAUCUUCUUCUCCAAAAUACGUUUAAGAGAAAAAGAGACCAAAAAACCAAACCAAACCCCAAACAGCCACUAACUUGAAGCUAAAACUAAGAACCAAAUGUUGUUAAAUGAAAUGAGGACUGCACAUACCCACUGGCAUUCUGUGUAGCAGUGAUGAUUAAUAUCAAAGGAUCACAUAAUUGCUUUUCAAUUAUUUUCAUUUAGUCUUGGAAAUUGAGUCUUGGAAAUGCUUGUUAAUUCUAGAGGCAAAAUUAUUUAAAGAAUUAACAAAUGAUUUUAAAAACUUGAAAUUCUUGAUGAUGAUGAUUAGUCUGAUUAAAAUAUACAUAAAUGUUUCAAUGCUUUUUUAAUAUAAAUUUAAUAUAUAAAUAUAUUCAUUAGUGAUACUUUAUUCAGGAUUUUUACAAACUGUUUUUAAAAGCUUAUAGUAUAUAGCUUAUUGUAUGUUAAACUUCCAGGGUUUUUAACCACAUCUAUCAAAUUGAGUUUUAUUUAUAUGCAAUUUGUUUGAUGUCUUUUGGAAUGAAAAAACAAGACAGAGCUUCUGAUUCAUACCAGCAGUGAACACAGGAAGUGUCUGUAUUUUCUUCUGUGUAACAAAGUAAUAUGUUGUAGCUGUGUAUAUUUU